rnacentral:rRNA from 1 species
UACGGGGGGGGGUAAGCGUUGUUCGGAAUUACUGGGCGUAAAGGGCUCGUAGGCGGCCAACUAAGUCAUACGUGAAAUCCCUCAGCUUAACUGGGGAACUGCGUCUGAUACUGGAUGGCUUGGAUUUGGGAGAGGAAUGCGGAAUUCCAGGUGUAGCGGUGAAAUGCGUAGAUAUCUGGAGGAACACCGGUGGCGAAGGCGGCAUUCUGGACCAAUAUUGACGCUGAGGAGCGAAAGCCAGGGGAGCAAACGGG